AUGAGGCGGCCUCCCAGAAGUCAGUCAGACCCACCAUCGCCUCAUUUUCUCUCAGCUCAAGUUCCCUCAUGUGGUUUGAGUCAAGGAGCUAAUGAGCAGCGAGAGAGCAGCUCGGGCCUGAAGCAGGAGGCAGAAAGGAGAGGAAGAAGGGAGAUGCUGGGCUCCCUCGAGGCGGAGGAGACGGAGGCCGCCGCGCUGCUUGUUGGACCCCACGGAGGUGCCCUAUCUUUGUGGAUGAACUUGAGCCAAUCCUUGGUUCCCAGGGGCUCCCAGGGGCAGGAAACCCACCUGAAGUUGAAGGCUCCAGUAAGGUAAGCACUAUAGGUUUGACAGGUGAUAUUGCUCCCACUUUCAGAUGAUGACAUUCAGGACAGAGGGGUUCUUUGGUCAGCAAGAGUCAGUGCCAAUGAUGAUAAGUGAUGUUCUUGUGAUGGGUACUAUGCGGGCAUUGUUCUCAGCAUCCUUUUUUUUUUUUCUUUCCAAUUUUAUUGGCAUAUAGCAUGGUAUCAGCCCAAGGUGUAAAGCAUAAUGCUUUGGUACCUAUAUAUAGUUGCUUUUCUUAUGAUGAGAACUUUUAAGGAUUUACUCUCUUAAUAACUUUCAAAUAUACAAUAGAGUAUUAUUAACUCUAGUUACCGUGCCAUACAUUACAUCUCUAGAAAUUGUUAUAAUGAAGUUUAUAACUUUUGACCAUCUUCACUCUUUUUUCUCCUCCCUCACCUCUGCCUCUGCCAACCCCCAAACUGUUCUCUGUAUCUGUGAAUUUGGUUUUUUAGAUUCCACAUAUAAGUGAGAUCAUACAGUAUUUUGUCUUUUUCUGUUUUCUUAUUUCAUGUAGUACAACAACCUCCAGGUUUAUCUGUAUCGUCACAAAUGGCAGAAUUUUGUUCUUUUUUAUGGCUGAAUAAUAUUCCACUCUAUACAAAUACCAUAUCUUCUUUAUCCAUUCACCUGUCGAUGGACACUUAGGUUGUUUGUAUGUCUUGGCUGUGCUGCUAUAAAUGUGGGGGUGCAGAUAUCUUUUUGAGACAGUGAUUUCAUUUCCUUGUGCUCAGCAUCUUAUUUGAAUUAUGUCCUCCCUGUGAUGUUGGCACUUGAAUGAUCCCCAUUUUAUAGCUAGGUUAACUGAGACAAGAGAGUUUAAGUUACCUGUUUAAGGUUACAAAGCAUAUGUGAUGGUGCUGGAAUUCAAUUCCAGGUAGUCUGACAUCAGAGCAGGUAUCUGACCACCAUGCUUCUUUGAGUUCAACACCAGCCAGGUCUUCUGAUUCUAAGCCCACCCUUCUUUCCAAUACAUUGUAACAGUCAGUUCUUGGCAUACAAAUGUCAAAUAUCAAGCCAAUAAUUUCGUAUGUAAGGAUUUCAAAGGUGUACCUCUGGGGAGCCUAUGAUCUCAGCCACACUGUAGGAAAUAAAUUGCUGGGGUUUAGUAUCUUCA
rnacentral:lncRNA from 1 species